UUUUCCACUUUACGGCGGUAUUCCUCUUAGCCGUAAACAUCAUUAGAUUCCUGUUAUACAUGAUGUACAGAAAGUAAAGCAAGAAAAAGACGAGCUGCUGGAUGACCUCCAAUUUUGUUGCUUUUCUUGUCCUCGCACUACAAUGACGCAAUGACACGCUAGCAGUCUACACCAUGCUUAUGCCGUGAAAACAAACCAUUCAGUGGGAGCGAGGCUUAACUGAGUGGAAAUGUUCACCUGGACCAUACUGCGUUGCUCCCUAACAUACCGGGCAGUUUUUUACAUUUUAAAAAUACAGUGUGUGUUUUCUGCAGUCACAAAUAUGACUAACAUGAACAGCUAUGAUGUAGCUGUUUUUUUUUUUUUUUACACGUUACUAACAAGGUUGGGAGUAACUGUAGUCACGCUAACAUUUGUUUUAGCAUUUUGUUUUUUUUUCUUCUACAAUGUGCAUAUUGGGAAUUUAAUUUAUUGUGAAUAUGCUUACACUUUAAACCACUGACUGUGUAUGAGAGCUGGACUGAUUGGCCCCUCCCCCCUUGUGUACCAAACAGGAAGUGCCUGCUGGUCCCAAAAAGCCAAAAUCCCAUAGACUUCUAUUGUAAAAAAACAGCUAAUAGUCAUUUUAGCUGUCAGAAUACCAAUGCUGUGAGACAAAAUUUUGACAUGUUUUUGUUAAACUAAUUUGAUAUUUUUGCUGUAGUGCAAGUUGUUCAGUUGCCUCAACAAACAUUGUGUUGAACAUUCGAAGCGUUUAAUUGACAGAUUCUCCUGAGUUCGCUUUCAGUGGAAGGGGUGUCGUCUUCUAACAUGCUCACUACUGAUUGGAGAGAGUGGUUGCCAUGGAAAUGUAGACUCGACCAGCACGGACCACCCACAGCUUUCUGAGGACGUCUGGUUCCAACGUGACAGACGUGUAGAGUAAAAAUGGGGACUGAAUUGACUGCAAUCGGUUGAACUCCAGAAGUUGAACGACAUCUGCAGCUAAAUCUGGCAAAGGAAUCUCAGGAGUACUGCGUGUGGUUUUAGCUGUCUGGAUAAUGGAAUACUGACACACUUUGCAACUACAUCUGAUUGAUUCUCUGGAGAACUAUAAAGAUGGCAAACGACUAAGAGCUUAAGGCGAUGUUUUGUCUAUAUUGUAUAGAAAUAAACUGGUCAUAUGUAAAAUGUAUGUGAAAAAAGGGAGAAAAGUUGUGAUCUUUGACGUGAUAUUUUCAGAUGCAUCAUGAAUCAACAAUAUUAAACCACAGAAGACGUAUGAACAAACCGUGCAAAGAAUA